UGGGCUGUCGCCAAGUGGUAAGGCAACGGGUUUUGGUCCCGUCAUUCGUAGGUUCGAAUCCUGCCAGCCCAGCCA
rnacentral:tRNA from 1 species